GGGUGCUUAGAGAUGUGUAAGAGUGAGCCAGGCGAAAGGAGGUGAACGUUCUCAGCUUCUCCUGAUUUGUUAACUUGGAAGUCAUAUUCUUUGUCUACCCCAAAGGACUACAGGGCCAAUGAGAACAGAAACUGCUUUCGUUCUGCCCCAACACACAACAGAAACAGAAGAACUGAAACCUCAGCUGAGGCUUCUGCUCUCGCAUUUCAGUAUCUCUUAUGACGUGGAAGAGCUGAGCGAUGCUUCUAAGGAGACAGAACUUUUUGCCUUGGUUUCCCCAAAAUUUCAAAGCAUCUUCAUGGAACAACAGAGAAUGCAAACGUUUCCAGACUAUAAUGCUGGGAUAGCUAAAGUGGAAAAUUUGAAUUUGGCAGGACCUCGUAGGGCCUUGAAAAAGGGAGCCAACUGGACUUCCUUUAUAAAGAUUAAGCCAAAAUGUGAUCCUUGGCAAAAGAAGCUUUUGACCAAACUAAAAGAACGGAGAAGAAUAGAUGUAUUAAUGCAACUCCAAGCAAAGUUUUUGAAGAUUUCCAAUCCUGAGCGAGUAAUGCAAGUGCUCCAGGAUCAUGCUGCAAAGACAGUCUUGCUGGCUUCAUCUCAUCCAACAUGUGUGGCUUCCCAGGGCAACUAUGACCAAAUCUGGGAGACUAUUUAUAGCAACAUCAACCUCUACCAGAAUGAAAACACUAAGGAAGAUGACCUUUCAGUGCAACGAGAUGAAAAUGACCCAGCACUAAUAAAUCUUAGCCAGUGUGCUAAUAAGCCUGUGAAGCAGAAGAAAGAGACAGGUUACAGUUAUGCAGUGGCCCUACAGCUGCUGGGCUUGGAUGACGGGACUGGGCCCAGUAACAGGGAUCCUGUCCUGAUGAGGGGGACCUACUUGUCCUUUCUGUAUCUGCGUCACCUGAGGAUCCGGGAGCUGCAGCGCAUCUGCUUAGGAAUUCUGAACUAUUUUAGAUCUGUUGAGCGAACACUGACGAUCAACACUUCAGGCCUUACCUUGGUUUCAGGGAGCCUGGUCCCUACCUCAGAAGACAGUUCCUGGGUAAAUAAAGCAAAAGGAGGCAUGGGCACCUCGCAAGGCCUAGGCGCUCACCACUAUGCCCACGGGACACCUGCCGAGCACAGGUUUCCUAGGGUUGCCAUAACAAAGUACCACAAAGUGAGUGGCUCACAACAGCUGGGAGAGAAAUUUAUUCUCUUACGAUUCUGGAAACAGUCCAAAAUCAAGGUGUCAGCAGGACCAUGCUGUCUCUGAAGGCCCCAGGGGAAAAUCCUCAUUACCUCUCGGGCUUCUGGUAGUUGUCAGCAAUCCUUGGUGUUCUUGGCUUGUAGAUGCAUUACUCCAGUCUCUGCCUCUGUCUUCAUGUGGCCUUCUCUCCUAUGUGUCUGUUUCCAGAUUUCCUCUUUUUAUAUGAACACCAGUCAUUGGACUGAGGCUCACCUUAAUCCAGUAUGACCCCAUCUUAACUUAUGUACAUCUCUAAAGACUAUUUCCAAAUAAGGCCACAUUCACAAGUUUCAAGUGGACAUGAAUUUUAGGAGGACACCAAGUCAUGAGAUUGUGUUAAUGCAUUUUAGAAGUAUUUAUAAGAUUAAGAGAAAUAGCUGAUUAUAGAUCUCAAGGGCCUCAUAUACAUGUGAGGCCAUACAUACACAUAUGGUAUCAUAUGCAACAAACCUUUUAGUGUCUCCACUGUCCCCGUGUGAUAGAUGAAGAAAUGGAGUCUAAAGUCUAAGUGACUUGCUUAAAGUGAGGUCCUGGCAGAGUGCAUGCGUGCUCAAUCGCUUCAAUCAUGUCAGAAUCUUUGUGACCUAAAUGCUGUAGCCUGCCAGGCU
ensembl:lncRNA